UGAAAUCUAAAAUAACCAAAACCCAAAGAUAUAAAAGUAGAGUCUCCACCGUUGUUGAAACAGAAAAAUCUGAAAAUGUUUUCUCAAAAUGGGGAAAUGGAAAAAAUAGAUUUCCCAAACAUAUCUCCAAAAAUCUAGGCUGCUGUCGUCCUUCCUCGAUCUUAAAUUAUUUUUUCCUUUUUCCUUUCCUAUAAUUUGCUCAUCUUCUUCCAUCCAACCCUUUAACCAUCAAAAUAAAUAUUUCUACAAACCCUUUUUUUU
rnacentral:lncRNA from 1 species